GAUGAACGCUGGCGGCGUGCCUAAUACAUGCAAGUCGAGCGGUAAGGCCUCUUCGGAGGUACACGAGCGGCGGACGGCUGAGUGACACGUAGGAACGUACCCCAAACUGAGGGAUAAGCACCAGAAAUGGUGUCUAAUACCGCAUGUGGUCUAAGGAUUAAAGCUUCGGCGCUUUGGGAACGGCCCGCGUUCGAUUAGCUAGUUGGUGUGGUAAUUGCUCACCAAGGCGACGAUCGAUAGCUGGUCUGAGAGGAUGAUCAGCCAGACUGGGACUGAGACACGGCCCAGACUCCUACGGGAGGCAGCAGUAGGGAAUUUUCCACAAUGGGCGAAAGCCUGAUGGAGCAACGCCGCGUGCAGGAUGAAUGCCUUCGGGUUGUAAACUGCUUUUAUAUGUGACGAUUAUGACGGUAGCAUAUGAAUAAGGAUCGGCUAACUCCGUGCCAGCAGCCGCCGUAA
rnacentral:rRNA from 1 species